UACGUAGGUGGCAAGCGUUGUCCGGAUUUACUGGGCGUAAAGGAUGCGUAGGUGGAUAUUUAAGUGGGAUGUGAAAUACCCGGGCUCAACUUGGGUGCUGCAUUCCAAACUGGAUAUCUAGAGUGCAGGAGAGGAAAGUGGAAUUCCUAGUGUAGCAGUGAAAUGCGUAGAUAUUAGGAGGAACACCAGUGGCGAAGGCGGCUUUCUGGACUGUAACUGACACUGAGGCAUGAAAGCGUGGGGAGCAAACAGG
rnacentral:rRNA from 1 species